rnacentral:rRNA from 1 species
UACGAAGGGGGCUAGCGUUGCUCGGAAUCACUGGGCGUAAAGGGUGCGUAGGCGGGUCUUUAAGUCAGGGGUGAAAUCCUGGAGCUCAACUCCAGAACUGCCUUUGAUACUGAAGAUCUUGAGUUCGGGAGAGGUGAGUGGAACUGCGAGUGUAGAGGUGAAAUUCGUAGAUAUUCGCAAGACACCAGUGGCGAAGGCGGCUCACUGGCCCGAUACUGACGCUGAGGCACGAAAGCGAUGGGAGCAAACAGGG